rnacentral:rRNA from 1 species
AACGAACGCUGGCGGCAGGCUUAACACAUGCAAGUCGAGCGCCCCGCAAGGGGAGCGGCAGACGGGUGAGUAACGCGUGGGAAUCUACCCAUCUCUACGGAAUAACGCAUGGAAACGUGUGCUAAUACCGUAUACGUCCUUCGGGAGAAAGAUUUAUCGGAGAUGGAUGAGCCCGCGUUGGAUUAGGUAGUUGGUGGGGUAAAGGCCUACCAAGGCGACGAUCCAUAGCUGGUCUGAGAGGAUGAUCAGCCACACUGGGACUGAGACACGGCCCAGACUCCUACGGGAGGCAGCAGUGGGGAAUAUUGGACAAUGGGCGCAAGCCUGAUCCAGCCAUGCCGCGUGAGUAAUGAAGGCCCUAGGGUUGUAAAGCUCUUUCACCGGUGAAGAUAAUGACGGUAACCGGAGAAGAAGCCCCGGCUAACUUCGUGCCAGCCGCCGCCGUAAUAC